rnacentral:rRNA from 1 species
AUGGAUGCUUCGCGCCAGUAUUUAUGCAGCUACCUUGAGUCGUUAAUUGCUAUAGCUCAAAAUUCUAAUUGUGAUCCGGUGAAAGGUAAAGCGGUGAUAUCUUAUGAUCCAGCGGUAAAUAGGCCACAUGAAAUAUCAAGAAUUGUGCCUCCUGUUAAGUGGCUUCCUCCUCCCGAGGGUUGGGUGAAGCUCAAUACGGAUGGUUCCUGGACUAAUGAUGGAAGGGCCGGUGCUGGUAUGUUGCUUCGCGAUAAUCUAGGCAACAUUAUUUACUCAUCUUGCAGGGAGUUAUUUUCAUGCCGAGAUGCCCUCGAAGCAGAAUUAUGCGCAUGCAUGGAGGGUUUAUCCAUUGCUAUUCAACGGACGGAACUUCCAGUUUGUAUCGAGAUGGAUUCACUUAUAGCGGUGAACAUGUUGAGGGACAAGGACAUUGACAGGUCAAUCUACGCGUCUUUGGUGGCAGUGAUAAAAACUGAGAGUAGAACUGUUGUCUGGUUGAGAUCAGGACCCCAAGAGGUCAUCGAUUUAUCUCGAUAUGGUGGAUUGGUUGGGGUUGGGCUUGACGUCGUAGCUACUCCUGCUGGGCCGCUGGGUUUGGUGAGACGCGCCCUCCUCCUCUGCCUGCUGGCCGCACGCCGCGUGCAUGCUCGCUUAGCUCAUUUGACCUACCUGCAGAUGCGAGCAUGGUUUAAAAUCCUGAACCGGCAAUCAAAUUUGGUUAGCAGCGACGCCGCAGGCGAUUCCUUGAUCGCCGGGAGGAUCGCUGCCUUCCACCCAUACCGAAUCGUCGUCCUUCAGGAGACGACGAGGGAGACAUAG